UACAGAGGUCCCAAGCGUUGUUCGGAUUCACUGGGCGUAAAGGGUGCGUAGGUGGUGGGGCAAGUCUGAUGUGAAAUCUCUGAGCUCAACUCAGAAACGGCAUUGGAAACUGCCUUGCUCGAGGGUUGGAGGGGGGACUGGAAUUCUCGGUGUAGCAGUGAAAUGCGUAGAUAUCGAGAGGAACACCAGUGGCGAAGGCGAGUCCCUGGACAACUCCUGACACUGAGGCACGAAAGCUAGGGGAGCGAACAGG
rnacentral:rRNA from 1 species